GAGCACCCAGAAAGUGCUAGAACCCCAGAGAUAGUUGUAGCCGUUAUUCGAAUUCGCGCGCAUUCAAACCCUCUCCAAUUUCCAGAAUAUUAGAGAAUGCUGAGAGCCAAGAGCUUGAGCAGAGUGUCGGUGCCGCGACCAUCCUUCUCCGGCUAACCUCCAAUCCACUCGCCUCGCUCUCCAUGUCAGCGAGGACGGCUCUUCUUGCUGGGCCUACGUCGCCUCCGGUUGCCAAAUUUACAAGCUCCAGAUUGUGUUGGACGAUUCCCUGGUCAAUGAAGGGAAAGAUAGCCUUCUGAUUCCUGUACAUAAGCAGGU